AAAAGUUAGCUCAGUUGGUUAGAGUGCCGGCCUGUCACGCCGGAGGUCGCGGGUUCGAGCCCCGUCACUCGCGCCA
rnacentral:tRNA from 1 species